AUUUUAAAAAAAUUAGGGUUUUAAGGUGAAUUUGGAGGAGAAAUGACAGGAUGAAAUGAGAAAAGUUAAAGGAGAAUUUUGUCAUUUUACAACUAAAAUAUUUUGUAUAUUUCUAUUUAUUUUUAUUAUUGGUAAAAGGUCAUUUAACCAAAUGCAUUUUUAAGUUAGGCUAUUGGGCCAAAUUCCCCAAUAUUAAUAGGACCUGCUCAAAUUGGAAGAAAUUUGCAAGCCUUUGCAGUAUUUUGUAAUCCUUUAAUCAUCUUAGCAAUAUUUGCUUUCUAAAAUUGAACACAUAUGAAUGUGGAUGCUUGCCCAUUGCCAAAAUACACACCAAGAAAGAGAGAAAAUCCUAAUCACAGCGUUCAAGAAAUUCUCUAUGGUUUUAGAAAGAGUAGAAUAUUUCUGAGUAUAGUAGAGCUUAGAGAAAAAGGAAGAUGGUGUUGGAAUAAUAACAAGUUGCAGUAAUGUUCAGAACAAUAAAAUGCAGAAAUAUAUAAGACUUAUCGUCCGAUCAAGUCUCGUGACAGCACGAUAUCUUAAAGUGAAAUUGCCCGUCGAUAAUUGCUGCGACCUCCGUGGACAAUCACUUUCAGGAUACAACAAUCAUAAAUCAUUUGUGCAGCAAUCACGAAUGAUUUUUCCAGAACUCUCAAUUGUACUCCAAAAUAUAUGUAAAAACCCAAGCAUAAGAAAAUCAAAAUAUGAAAAAAAAGGAUUGAUACAAGAGGAUUUUUUUAUUUUCUUUUUGUAUGUAUUUUUCCCAAAACGAGAUAUGGAUUUAUAUAGGCAGGAUGGAAGCAACAGUUUCCACCAUGAUCAGAGAUUAAUUCAGAAUUUUAAUGAUUGGGUAGUGGGUAUUUUAAUGACUGUUAGUGGGUUAUUACAAAAACAAACAGUCAGAAAAUACUAACUAGUUUUACCCAUUAAAUAAUAAUAAAAAAAACAUUUAUUUUAGUCAAGGAAGAAGCCCAAGGCUCCAAUCAAGACAUUUUAAUAUCUGCGUGGGGAGUGACUCGAACCCCUGACGUCCCACACAGAUGCCACAUUUCCCACCACUUUGGCACUUUAUCUAAUUUGAUUAUUUCUUUCACAUUUUAUAUUUAUACCAUAAAUAUAUAACAAUCCCCCACAUGAAAGAAAUAAGAUAAAUGAAAAUAUUACUUUGGAGUACGAUAGAAAUCAUGCAGGCUUAGGUGUCUAUCGACUUGAACCUUGGCUUUGUAUAUUUUAUCGAACUUACUAACUGUAGAGUGAACUAUGUCUUGAACUCUAUAAUUAUAGUUGCAAACUGAGACAAUAGAAUACACACAUGAUUUCUAGAACAGUCAUUGAGUUCUCGCGGUUGUGUUCAUUUCGGCCGUAAACUUUUCCAGUUUCUUUGAGUGCUCUAGAGAAUUCGCCUCAAUUCUCAUAGGAAGCGGCCCCACUUCCACACUCAAAUAGGUGUUACUAUCAAGGGUGCACUAUAUUUAAACACCCCAUUGAAUAUCAGCUAUAGUAAGCAUUAAGAGCAUUAGCUCAUCCUCUAAUCAAUACAAUUGGUACUACGCAAUAUAGGGAGGGAUUUGGAAUAAAUCCAAUGUAGUACCCCCACAGACCACUCCAAUAACUUUGUUGUCCCAUUGAACCUUGACCAUGAGAUCUCCAAUUGCAAGGUUGGGUUUCCAUUAUAGGUGAUCUAAUACAUAAUAGGCUUUAGCCCCAUCCCCCUCGAUAUUUGUUGAAUUAGCUCUCUAGCCAAUCCUUUGGUUAAUGGGUCAGCAAUGUUAUCACUUGACUUCACAUAAUCAAUAGCUAUAAUCCCAUCCUUAAGCCAGUAUUGUGCCUCCUACGAAUAUGUCUAGACUUUUCAUUGUAGGACGAAUUUUGAGCUCUUGAGAUAGCUGCUUGACUGUCACAAUGUAUUGAAAUAGUUGGAAAUGGUUUAGACCACAAAGAACAUCCAUAAGAAAAUUCCUUAACCAUUCAGCCUCCUCACCUGCCUUAUCUAAAGCUAUGAACACAGAUUUCAUAGUAGAUCUAGCAAUGCAGGUUUGCUUAGUGGAUUUCCAG
rnacentral:lncRNA from 1 species